rnacentral:rRNA from 1 species
ACUCCUACGGGAGGCAGCAGUGGGGAAUAUUGCACAAUGGGCGCAAGCCUGAUGCAGCCAUGCCGCGUGUGUGAAGAAGGCCUUCGGGUUGUAAAGCACUUUCAGUCGUGAGGAAGGCGGGUACGUUAAUAGCGUAUUCGUUUGACGUUAGCGACAGAAGAAGCACCGGCUAACUCCGUGCCAGCAGCCGCGGUAAGUACGGAGGGUGCGAGCGUUAAUCGGAAUUACUGGGCGUAAAGCGCAUGCAGGUGGUUUGUUAAGUCAGAUGUGAAAGCCCGGGGCUCAACCUCGGAAUAGCAUUUGAAACUGGCAGACUAGAGUACUGUAGAGGGGGUAGAAUUUCAGGUGUAGCGGUGAAAUGCGUAGAGAUCUGAAGGAAUACCGGUGGCGAAGGCGGCCCCUGGACAGAUACUGACACUCAGAUGCGAAAGCGUGGGAGCAAACGAGGAUUAGAUACCCCGUGGUAGGACAGUG